UCCUUUGCUGCUGUCAAGUCCCAGACUACAAUAGAAUAUGACAAAGAGAAGGAACGCAACAACGCCACCACAAUGACAAAGUGUCCUGGAACAGUAAACUCACGAAGACUGCCUGGAGCAAUGAGCCUUCUCCCUCAGUGAAGAAAACAAAAGAGAUGUUCUGUAACAUCAUCUUUCAUCAUCACUGGAACUGAGAAGUGUUCACUAUUACAUGACAGAAGUAGAGGCUUCUAUCAAGUCUGUAACAAAGUGCCUGAUGGUGACACACCUGAAUGAAGAGCUCUGCAGCAGUGAGCAGCUUAAUUAGCGCAGAUCCUUUUCAAGGAAUCAAGCCCAUUGCAACAAGAAUUACAAAUGCACAGAGGUCUUCCCACUACUUGAAGUCAGCAGUCAUGCUUUUAUCCAUUGAUGUGCUGUCAAUGAUGAACUGACAGAUGCAAGACUUCAGGCAAGAAUGCCACACCCAUACAAACUGGGAAAUUAUGUCCUGCUGCAUGAAAAUUAUUGCAUUAAUUUACAGGCGGGCAAGGUCACCGCUUUUUCAAAAUUUCUUUUGUGUUUCACAAGUGGAAAUGACAAAGGCAAAGCUUCAUUAGUGAUCUAGCAGUCCCAGACAGAUCAAGGUCUGAAGGAGAUGAAAUUCCUCCUGUACAUAUUGCAGGUAAUCAAUCAUCAGACGUGUACUACCAUCAGGAGAGGCC